rnacentral:rRNA from 1 species
AUAGCGUAUAUUUAAGUUGUUGCAGUUAAAAAGCUCGUAGUUGGAUUUCGGGUGGGUUCCAGCGGUCCGCCUAUGGUGAGUACUGCUGUGGCCCUCCUUUCUGCUGGGAACGGGCUCCUGGGCUUCACUGCUCGGGACUCGGGUUCAGCGAUGAUACUUUGAGUAAAUUAGAGUGUUCAAAGCAAGCCUACGCUCUGAAUACUUUAGCAUGGAAUAUCGCGAUAGGACUCUGGCCUAUCUCGUUGGUCUGUAGGACCGGAGUAAUGAUUAAGAGGGACAGUCGGGGGCAUUCGUAUUUCAUUGUCAGAGGUGAAAUUCUUGGAUUUAUGAAAGACGAACUACUGCGAAAGCAUUUGCCAAGGAUGUUUUCAUUAAUCAAGAACGAAAGUUGGGGGCUCGAAGACGAUUAGAUACCGUCGUAGUCUCAACCAUAAACGAUGCCGACUAGGGAUUGGAGGAUGUUCUUUUGAUGACUUCUCCAGCACCUUAUGAGAAAUCAAAGUUUUUGGGUUCCGGGGGGAGUAUGGUCGCAAGGCUGAAACUUAAAGAAAUUGACGG